rnacentral:rRNA from 1 species
AAUGGGCGCAAGCCUGAUCCAGCAAUGCCGCGUGGGUGAAGACGGCCUGCGGGUUGUAAAGCCCUUUGGGCGGGGAGGAACGACGGCGCGCCAACACCGUGCCGUACUGACGUUACCCGCGAAACAAGCACCGGCUAACUCCGUGCCAGCAGCCGCGGUAAUACGGAGGGUGCGAGCGUUAAUCGGAAUUACUGGGCGUAAAGCGUGCGUAGGCGGAUGGGUCAGUCAGCCGUGAGAUCCCCGGGCUCAACCUGGAGACGGCGGUUGAGACGGCGGGGCUCGAGUGGGCUAGAGGAUCGUGGAAUUCCGGGUGUAGCGGUGAAAUGCGUAGAGAUCCGGAGGAACACCGAUGGCGAAGGCAGCGGUCUGGGGCCACACUGACGCUGAGGCACGACGGCGUGGGGAGCAAA